GUUGUAUGGUUAAGUGACUAAGCGUACAUGGUGGAUGCCUUGGCAGUCAGAGGCGAUGAAGGACGUACUAACCUGCGAUAAGCCGUGAGCAGUCGGUAAGAGACAUUACGACUCACGGAUUUCCGAAUGGGGAAACCCACUUAGCAUAAGCUAGGUAUCGCUACGUGAAUACAUAGCGUAGCGAGGCGAACCGGGAGAACUGAAACAUCUAAGUACCCCGAGGAAAAGAAAUCAACCGAGAUUCCCUCAGUAGCGGCGAGCGAACGGGGAUUAGCCCUUAAGCAUCUUGGAAGUUAGUGGAACGGUCCUGGAAAGGCCGGCGAUACAGGGUGAUAGCCCCGUACACGAAAACAACCUUGAUGUGAAAUCGAGUAGGGCGGGACACGUGACAUCCUGUCUGAAUAUGGGGGGACCAUCCUCCAAGGCUAAAUACUCCUGACUGACCGAUAGUGAACCAGUACCGUGAGGGAAAGGCGAAAAGAACCCCUGUGAGGGGAGUGAAAUAGAACCUGAAACCGUGUACGUACAAGCAGUGGGAGCCCUUCGGGGUGACUGCGUACCUUUUGUAUAAUGGGUCAGCGACUUACAUUUUGUAGCGAGGUUAACCGUAUAGGGGAGCCGUAGGGAAACCGAGUCUUAACUGGGCGUCUAGUUGCAAGGUGUAGACCCGAAACCGGGUGAUCUAGCCAUGGGCAGGUUGAAGGUUGAGUAACAUCAACUGGAGGACCGAACCCACUAACGUUGCAAAGUUAGGGGAUGACCUGUGGCUGGGGGUGAAAGGCCAAUCAAACUCGGAGAUAGCUGGUUCUCCCCGAAAGCUAUUUAGGUAGCGCCUCGGACGAAUACUACUGGGGGUAGAGCACUGUUUGGGCUAGGGGGUCAUCCCGACUUACCAACCCCAUGCAAACUCCGAAUACCAGUAAGUAAUAUCCGGGAGACACACGGCGGGUGCUAACGUCCGUCGUGAAGAGGGAAACAACCCAGACCGCCGGCUAAGGUCCCAAAGUUCUGGUUAAGUGGGAAACGAUGUGGGAAGGCUCAGACAGCUAGGAUGUUGGCUUAGAAGCAGCCAUCAUUUAAAGAAAGCGUAAUAGCUCACUAGUCGAGUCGGCCUGCGCGGAAGAUGUAACGGGGCUCAAACCAGGCACCGAAGCCGCGGAUUCACGCUAAGCGUGAGUGGUAGGGGAGCGUUCUGUAAGUCUGCGAAGGUGUGUCGAGAGGUAUGCUGGAGAUAUCAGAAGUGCGAAUGCUGACGUAAGUAACGAUAAAGGGGGUGAAAAGCCUCCUCGCCGGAAGACCAAGGGUUCCUGUCCAACGUUAAUCGGGGCAGGGUGAGUCGACCCCUAAGGCGAGGCCGAAAGGCGUAGUCGAUGGGAAGCAGGUUAAUAUUCCUGCACGACUUGUAAUUGCGAUGGGGGGACGGAGAAGGCUAGGUGGGCCAGGCGACGGUUGUCCUGGUGAAAGUGCGUAGGUGGUGUUUCUAGGCAAAUCCGGAGACACAACACUGAGACACGAGACGAACACACUACGGUGUGGAAGCCAUUGAUGCCCUGCUUCCAGGAAAAGCCUCUAAGCUUCAGAUUACAAGUCAUCGUACCCCAAACCGACACAGGUGGUCGGGUAGAGAAUACCAAGGCGCUUGAGAGAACUCGGGUGAAGGAACUAGGCAAAAUAGAACCGUAACUUCGGGAGAAGGUUCGCUCUUGACAGUGAAGUCCCUUGCGGAUGGAGCAGUUGGGAGUCGCAGUGACCAGAUGGCUGGGACUGUUUAUCAAAAACACAGCACUCUGCAAACACGAAAGUGGACGUAUAGGGUGUGACACCUGCCCGGUGCCGGAAGGUUAAUUGAUGGGGUUAGCGCAAGCGAAGCUCUUGAUCGAAGCCCCGGUAAACGGCGGCCGUAACUAUAACGGUCCUAAGGUAGCGAAAUUCCUUGUCGGGUAAGUUCCGACCUGCACGAAUGGUGUAACCAUGGCCAUGCUGUCUCCACCCGAGACUCAGUGAAAUCGAAUUCGCCGUGAAGAUGCGGUGUACCCGCGGCUAGACGGAAAGACCCCGUGAACCUUUACUACAGCUUGGCACUGAACAUUGAACCUACAUGUGUAGGAUAGGUGGGAGGCUUUGAAGGCGUGACGCCAGUUGCGCUGGAGCCGUCCUUGAAAUACCACCCUUGUAUGUUUGAUGUUCUAACGCAGGCCCAUGAAUCUGGGUCGCGGACAGUGCCUGGUGGGUAGUUUGACUGGGGCGGUCUCCUCCCAAAGAGUAACGGAGGAGCACGAAGGUUGGCUAAUCCUGGUCGGACAUCAGGAGGUUAGUGCAAUGGCAUAAGCCAGCUUAACUGCGAGACGGACAGGUCGAGCAGGUACGAAAGUAGGUCAUAGUGAUCCGGUGGUUCUGAAUGGAAGGGCCAUCGCUCAACGGAUAAAAGGUACUCCGGGGAUAACAGGCUGAUACCGCCCAAGAGUUCAUAUCGACGGCGGUGUUUGGCACCUCGAUGUCGGCUCAUCACAUCCUGGGGCUGAAGUCGGUCCCAAGGGUAUGGCUGUUCGCCAUUUAAAGUGGUACGCGAGCUGGGUUCAGAACGUCGUGAGACAGUUCGGUCCCUAUCUGCCGUGGGCGUUGGAUGAUUGAAGGGAGUUGCUCCUAGUACGAGAGGACCGGAGUGAACGAACCUCUGGUGUUCGGGUUGUCACGCCAGUGGCACUGCCCGGUAGCUAAGUUCGGAAUCGAUAACCGCUGAAAGCAUCUAAGCGGGAAGCGAGCCCUGAGAUGAGUCAUCCCUGACCCCUUGAGGGUCCUAAAGGGCCGUUGGAGACCACAACGUUGAUAGGUGGGGUGUGUAAGCGCGGCGACGUGUUGAGCUAACCCAUACUAAUUACCCGUGAGGCUUAACCAUACAACACCCAAGAAGUGUUCU
rnacentral:rRNA from 1 species